rnacentral:rRNA from 1 species
AGGUAAGCUACUAAGAGCGAAUGGUGGAUGCCUUGACUGGUAAAGGCGAUGAAGGACGUACUAGACUGCGAUAAGCUACGGGGAGCUGUCAAGAAGCUUUGAUCCGUAGAUUUCCGAAUGGGGCAACCCAAUGUAUAGAGAUAUACAUUACCUAUAUAGGAGCGAACGAGGGGAAUUGAAACAUCUUAGUACCCUCAGGAAAAGAAAUCAAUAGAGAUUGCGUCAGUAGCGGCGAGCGAAAGCGCAAGAGGGCAAACCCAGUGCUUGCACUGGGGGUUGUAGGACUGCAAUGUGCAAGAGCUGAGUUUAGCAGAACAUUCUGGAAAGUAUAGCCAUAGAGGGUGAUAGUCCCGUAUGCGAAAAACAAAGCUUAGCUAGCAGUAUCCUGAGUAGGGCGGGACACGAGGAAUCCUGUCUGAAUCCGGGUCGACCACGAUCCAACCCUAAAUACUAAUACCAGAUCGAUAGUGCACAAGUACCGUGAGGGAAAGGUGAAAAGAACUGAGGUGAUCAGAGUGAAAUAGAACCUGAAACCAUUUGCUUACAAUCAUUCAGAGCACUAUGUAGCAAUACAGUGUGAUGGACUGCCUUUUGCAUAAUGAGCCUGCGAGUUGUGGUGUCUGGCAAGGUUAAGCAAACGCGAAGCCGUAGCGAAAGCGAGUCUGAAUAGGGCGCUUAGUCAGAUGCUGCAGACCCGAAACGAAGUGAUCUAUCCAUGAGCAAGUUGAAGCUAGUGUAAGAACUAGUGGAGGACUGAACCCAUAGGCGUUGAAAAGCCCCGGGAUGACUUGUGGAUAGGGGUGAAAGGCCAAUCAAACUUCGUGAUAGCUGGUUCUCUCCGAAAUAUAUUUAGGUAUAGCGUUGUGUCGUAAUAUAAGGGGGUAGAGCACUGAAUGGGCUAGGGCAUACACCAAUGUACCAAACCCUAUCAAACUCCGAAUACCUUAUAUGUAAUCACAGCAGUCAGGCGGCGAGUGAUAAAAUCCGUCGUCAAGAGGGAAACAACCCAGACUACCAGCUAAGGUCCCUAAGUCUUACUUAAGUGGAAAACGAUGUGAAGUUACUUAAACAACCAGGAGGUUGGCUUAGAAGCAGCCAUCCUUUAAAGAAAGCGUAAUAGCUCACUGGUCUAGUGAUUUUGCGCGGAAAAUAUAACGGGGCUAAAGUAAGUACCGAAGCUGUAGACUUAGUUUACUAAGUGGUAGGAGAGCGUUCUAUUUGCGUCGAAGGUAUACCGGUAAGGAGUGCUGGAGCGAAUAGAAGUGAGCAUGCAGGCAUGAGUAGCGAUAAUUAAUGUGAGAAUCAUUAACGCCGUAAACCCAAGGUUUCCUACGCGAUGCUCGUCAUCGUAGGGUUAGUCGGGUCCUAAGUCGAGUCCGAAAGGGGUAGACGAUGGCAAAUUGGUUAAUAUUCCAAUACCAACAUUAGUGUGCGAUGGAAGGACGCUUAGGGCUAAGGGGGCUAGCGGAUGGAAGUGCUAGUCUAAGGUCGUAGGAGGUUAUACAGGCAAAUCCGUAUAACAAUACUCCGAGAACUGAAAGGCUUUUUGAAGUCUUCGGAUGGAUAGAAGAACCCCUGAUGCCGUCGAGCCAAGAAAAGUUUCUAAGUUUAGCUAAUGUUGCCCGUACCGUAAACCGACACAGGUGGGUGGGAUGAGUAUUCUAAGGCGCGUGGAAGAACUCUCUUUAAGGAACUCUGCAAAAUAGCACCGUAUCUUCGGUAUAAGGUGUGGUUAGCUUUGUAUUAGG